GGAGAUAUAGCUCAGUUGGUAGAGUGCUUGCCUCACAUGCAUAAGGCCCUGGGUUCAAUCCCCAGCACUG
rnacentral:tRNA from 1 species